AUUGAACGCUGGCGGCAUGCCUUACACAUGCAAGUCGAACGGCAGCACGGGUGCUUGCACCUGGUGGCGAGUGGCGAACGGGUGAGUAAUAUAUCGGAACGUACCUUAUCGUGGGGGAUAACGCAGCGAAAGCUGUGCUAAUACCGCAUAAGCCCUAAGGGGGAAAGCAGGGGACCGUAAGGCCUUGCGCGAUUAGAGCGGCCAAUACCUGAUUAGCUAGUUGGUGAGGUAAAGGCUCACCAAGGCAACGAUCAGUAGCUGGUCUGAGAGGACGAUCAGCCACACUGGGACUGAGACACGGCCCAGACCCCUACGGGAGGCAGCAGUGGGGGAUUUUGGACAAUGGGGGCAACCCUGAUCCAGCAAUGCCGCGUGAGUGAAGAAGGCCUUCGGGUUGUAAAGCUCUUUUGUCAGGGAAGAAACAGCAGCUCUAAUACAGUAUGCGAAUGACGGUACCUGAAGAAUAAGCACCGGCUAACUACGUGCCAGCCGCCGCCGUAAUAC
rnacentral:rRNA from 1 species